GUGGACUGGAUGCUGCCGUUGAUGUUGACGGCUCGUCUGAACUUGCCUGAGUGUACCCUGCUUGUGCGUGCGUAUKCGGUGUGAUACAUCUUCACCGGAGUUGAUCCUUGUGGUCGCGUCUGUAGUGGUGUGGCUCUAUGCUUCCAAUCGUCAUCGUUGGUUAGACAAUCUACUGACAAUUUGACCUCAAAUCGGGUGGGACUACCCGCUGAACUUAAGCAUAUCAAUAAGCGGAGGAAAAGAAACUAACAAGGAUUCCCCUAGUAACGGCGAGUGAAGAGGGAAAAGCUCAAAUUUGAAUCUGGUGUCUUUGACUCCCGAGUAGUAAUCUAGAGAAGUGUUUUCCGUGUCGGACCGUGCACAAGUUCCCUGGAACGGGGCGUCAUAGAGGGUGAGAAUCCCGUAUAUGGCAUGGACUACCGAUGCUUUUGUGAUACACUCUCAACGAGUCGAGUUGUUUGGGAAUGCAGCUCAAAAUGGGUGGUARAUUCCAUCUAAAGCUAAAUAUUGGCGAGAGACCGAUAGCGAACAAGUACCGUGAGGGAAAGAUGAAAAGCACUUUGGAAAGAGAGUGAAACAGUACGUGAAAUUGUAUGAAAGGGAAGCGUUUGAAGUCAGUCAUAUCCUGGCGGGAUUCAGCCGGGCUUUUGCCAGGUGUACUUCUCGUCCGAUGGGUCAGCAUCAAUUUCGACCGGGGGAAAAAGGCAUUGGGAAUGUGGCUGUCUUCGGGCAGUGUUAUAGCCUCGUGUUGUAUGCCUCGGUUGGGAUUGAGGAACGCAGCGCGCCGCAUGGCCAGGGGUUCGCCUCUUGACACGCGCUUAGGAUGCUGGCAUAAUGGCUUUAAGCGACCCGUCUUGAAACACGG
rnacentral:rRNA from 1 species